rnacentral:rRNA from 1 species
CCUACGGGAGGCAGCAGUGAGGAAUAUUGGUCAAUGGGCGCGAGCCUGAACCAGCCAAGUCGCGUGAGGGAUGACGGUCCUACGGAUUGUAAACCUCUUUUGCCGGGGAGCAAGCGUGCGUUCGUGAACGCGCGUCGAGAGUACCCGGAGAAAAAGCAUCGGCUAACUCCGUGCCAGCAGCCGCGGUAAUACGGAGGAUCCGAGCGUUAUCCGGAUUUAUUGGGUUUAAAGGGAGCGUAGAUGGGUUGUUAAGUCAGUUGUGAAAGUUUGCGGCUCAACCGUAAAAUUGCAAUUGAUACUGGCAGCCUUGAGUACAGUUGAGGUAGGCGGAAUUCGUGGUGUAGCGGUGAAAUGCUUAGAUAUCACGAAGAACUCCGAUUGCGAAGGCAGCCUACUAAACUGCCACUGACAUUGAUGCUCGAAAGUGUGGGUAUCAAACAGGAUUAGAUACCCCUGUAGUC